rnacentral:misc_RNA from 1 species
AAUAGUGUAUCUCUGCACCAGAAAAAUAUGGAAUCUCAAUCUAGUACUUCUGUCCCAAGCCAGAACUCAAAUUGGACAGUAAAGCAGCACAAAUUGUUCGAAGAUGCUCUUGCAAUAUAUGAUAAGGACACCCCUGAUCGCUGGUGUAAUAUUGCCAAGAUUGUUGGAGGAACAACUGAGGAGGAAGUGAAGAUACAGUAUGAGAUCCUUGUAAGUGAUAUCAACAACAUUGAAUCAGAUAAAGUCCCACUUCCUAAUUACAAGAAUGAAGGGAGAAUCAAUGAAGAAAGCUUGACAAGAAACAAUGAGGAGGAAAGGCUGCAGCAGAGCUAAGGAUCUAAUUUGGAUUUGUGUUCUAUAUGAAGCUCUGAUGAAAAAUGAACAAAAGCAGAAGAGAGAGUCAUCUUUAUUUUUCUUGAAAAUUAGAUUUAUCACAUGUCAGCUUCCUAACUUUUCUUUUUUCUUUUGAAUCUCGUAAGUUCUCAUCCUAUAUUCCUAUGCAUGCAUCAAGGAAGAUAAAUCAAAGCUUCUCUGUUG